UUCGCCCUUUUCCGGUUGAUCCUGCCGGAAGUUACUGCUAUCGGUGUUCGACUAAGCCAUGCGAGUCAAAUGUUCUUCGUGAACAUGGCGGACUGCUCAGUAACACGUGGAUAACCUGCCCUUAGGUUCGGCAUAACUCCGGGAAACUGGAGAUAAUUCCGAAUAGGUCAAAUAUGCUGGAAUGCUUUUUGGCCAAAAGACUUCGGUUGCCUAAGGAUGGAUCUGCGGUCUAUCAGGUUGUAGUGGGUGUAACGUACCUACUAGCCUACGACGGAUAUGGGUUGUGAGAGCAAGAGCCCAGAGAUGGAUUCUGAGACAUGAAUCCAGGCCCUACGGGGCGCAGCAGGCGCGAAAACUUUACAAUGCGGGAAACCGCGAUAAGGGGACACCGAGUGCCAGCAUUUAUGUUGGCUGUCCACAUGUGUAAACGGCAUGUGUUAGCAAGGGCCGGGCAAGACCGGUGCCAGCCGCCGCGGUAACACCGGCGGCCCGAGUGGUAAUCACUUUUAUUGGGUCUAAAGGGUCCGUAGCCGGUUUGAUCAGUUCUUCGGGAAAUCUGACAGCUCAACUGUUAGGCUUCCGGGGAAUACUGUCAGACUUGGGACCGGGAGAGGUAAGAGGUACUACAGGGGUAGGAGUGAAAUCUUGUAAUCCCUGUGGGACCACCAGUGGCGAAGGCGUCUUACCAGAACGGGUCCGACGGUGAGGGACGAAAGCUGGGGGCACGAACCGGAUUAGAUACCCGGGUAGUCCCAGCCGUAAACGAUGUUCGCUAGGUGUC
rnacentral:rRNA from 1 species